rnacentral:rRNA from 1 species
AUUGAACGCUGGCGGCAGGCCUAACACAUGCAAGUCGAACGGUAACAGGAAACAGCUUGCUGUUUCGCUGACGAGUGGCGGACGGGUGAGUCAUGUCUGGGAAACUGCCUGAUGGAGGGGGAUAACUACUGGAAACGGUAGCUAAUACCGCAUAACGUCGCAAGACCAAAGAGGGGGACCUUCGGGCCUCUUGCCAUCGGAUGUGCCCAGAUGGGAUUAGCUAGUAGGUGGGGUAACGGCUCACCUAGGCGACGAUCCCUAGCUGGUCUGAGAGGAUGACCAGCCACACUGGAACUGAGACACGGUCCAGACUCCUACGGGAGGCAGCAGUGGGGAAUAUUGCACAAAGGGCGCAAGCCUGAUGCAGCCAUGCCGCGUGUAUGAAGAAGGCCUUCGGGUUGUAAAGUACUUUCAGCGGGGAGGAAGGGAGUAAAGUUAAUACCUUUACUCAUUGACGUUACCCGCAGAAGAAGCACCGGCUAACUCCGUG